rnacentral:rRNA from 1 species
UCCAGACUCCUACGGGAGGCAGCAGUAGGGAAUUUUCGGCAAUGGGGGAAACCCUGACCGAGCAACGCCGCGUGAGGGAGGAAGUAUUUCGGUAUGUAAACCUCUGUUAUAAAGGAAGAACGAUGCAUGUAGGGAAUGACAUGCAAGUGACGGUACUUUAUGAGGAAGCCACGGCUAACUACGUGCCAGCAGCCGCGGUAAUACGUAGGUGGCGAGCGUUAUCCGGAAUUAUUGGGCGUAAAGAGGGAGCAGGCGGCAGCUAAGGUCUGCGGUGAAAGCCCGAAGCUAAACUUCGGUAAGCCGUGGAAACCGAGCAGCUAGAGUGCAGUAGAGGAUCGUGGAAUUCCAUGUGUAGCGGUGAAAUGCGUAGAUAUAUGGAGGAACACCAGUGGCGAAGGCGACGAUCUGGGCUGCAACUGACGCUCAGUCCCGAAAGCGUGGGGAGCAAAUAGGAUUAGAUACCCUAGUAAC